UACGGAGGAUGCAAGCGUUAUCCGGAAUGAUUGGGCGUAAAGCGUCCGCAGGUGGCUGUGUAAGUCUGCUGUUAAAGAGUCAUGCUCAACAUGAUAAGAGCAGUGGAAACUACACGGCUAGAGUGCGUUCGGGGCAGAGGGAAUUCCUGGUGUAGCGGUGAAAUGCGCAGAUAUCAGGAGGAACACCGGUGGCGAAGGCGGGUCUCUGGGCCGUAACUGACGCUGAGGAGCGAAAGCAUGGGGAGCGAACAGG
rnacentral:rRNA from 1 species